ACCUUUAUACAAAUUUUGUAUUUCACUGAUCUGGUCUUUAUGUAUUUUUCAGUGCUUUCGUUGUUUAUUGCUAAAUUUUGAUCAGGCUAGCUCAGGCGUUUUUGUUCACUUGAUCAAUAUGGAUAAGAAAGUUUCUGUUUCAGUUGAAUACUGUGCUAGCUGAGGGUAUGAUGCACGCUUCGAAGAACUCAAAUCUGAAAUUCAAAUCAGCUGUUCUGGUCUUGACAUAUCCGGAUUUGAGGGCCGAGAAGGUUCCUUCGAAGUGUCUGUCAAUGAAGAACUUGUGUUUUCUAAACUUAAAACAUAUGGGUUCCCUUACAGUAAAGAU